rnacentral:lncRNA from 1 species
AUUUGCCAUCGGGAUUUGGUCGUCUACUGUCGAACCCAAUUCAGUCGAACUUAGGAAGACCAAAACGCUUUAAAGUCCUCUAUGAGGUCACAUUUUCUCACCAGGAGACUGUAAAACUCAACAAGCUGCGCUCAUCAAUCACAACUGGUUGGCAGAGGUUAGGAAGGCAAGAAAGCAAAGUGCCUGCAGAUAUUAAUUAUCUCGAGACUUCUGAUUGUCUUCAGGUGGGGAUUUACAUGUAAGUAGCAAUUUCAUAGGUUUAUUCAAAGCUUCUUGUCUUUUCACAAAUCCCCCCAUGGAAUGAUAUUGAUCUUAGAAGACAAUUCCUCCACUGGAAGUCCUACCGAUCAAAGUCAUGAUUUGAAAUGAGUUUUCAAUGUCAUUUUGAACAUGCUAGGUGUUCCCACCUCAAUAGGUGUUUUCAGACUGACUCGAUUUUUGAGCAUAUAUACCCAGUAUUUUUUUAUUAGGAAAUUCACCUUGAUUUACCCAUAUCAGAAAAUACUUGGUAUUUUUGCCAGUGUGAAAAUACUAGCAAUAUUUGUAAAAAGAAAAAAAAACACACAGUAAAACAUGGGCCAUGGAAUGACUUUGAUAGUGGGAGGGGCUGAGCUUGAAAGUGGGGGAGGAGUUUAACCAUGCAUGCUGACUUUUUUGUACACGGUUUUGGAAAAAAGGGGGAAAGGGGGCUAAAGCCC